rnacentral:lncRNA from 13 species
AGAGAGGGAGGGAGGAUAGGAGUGAGGAGAGAUGGAUUUAAUUUUCAUCUAACUGGUCCCAGCACUGAGGAGGAUCUUUGGAGUCAAGCCAAGAUGUGACCGUCACGUUUUGGAUCUCUCCUUCCUUUAGAUAGAAAACAGAACCCCUGUUUCUAUAGAAACAUAAAUAAUUGACAAUUAGAAAACUAUUAUUCCUAAAAAUGCACUCCUCUAGCCGAAACUUCGCUCCGCCCUUGAGGCCUCGUCGUAUCGACACGAGCAGGCGGACCACCACCGCAGCGGAACCAAAGCCACACGGCCCUGUUUCCCAGAGGGAAGACAAAAACAUGAACACCAUUUCCUCUUCCUCUCCUCGGCGCGCCACCAAAGCGACCCCUGAGUCUUCCAGGACCAGGGUGGGGGUCCAGCCUCGUGCCCCCUUGGGUCAGUCCAGAUUGGGCUUACAGAGAAACACAGCUCCCCUCUCUACGACCAAACCCAAAAGUGUCCGUGCAGCAGCAGCUGUGUCGAAACGCGCCCCUCUUCCUGCUCUUCCUCAUCUGGACCCCAAUUGUAAUGAACCCAGCCUGCCUUGUCUGUGUUGCGACGGCCAUUCCCCCCAGGACAAUAACAGUCUGUUCAACCACAACCACAACAACAACAAUACCAUCUCCAUCAGACAGCAGCUGAAGCUUCAGCCCCCUCCACCACCUCCCCUGCUACCCCAGAGACAGGAGGGGACAGGGGGCAAGACCAAGACACAGGCCAGCCCCUCUCAGCCCCAGCCUCAGGUCCUGGCCCCAGCCUGCCCCCCUAAUGCCCUGGAACUGGAGAAAGGAACACAAGUUGAGGAGAAUGCAGAUGUUAACAAGAACACAGAUGUGGUCAUAGACAACAAGAAAGAAACGGAGGAAGAGAUGGAUGACAAGAAAGAAACAGAGGAGGAAGAGGAAAACAGUGUUGAUGUUGAAGUUGAUGAUGAGGAGGAGGGAGAUGAUGAUGAUGAUGACGACACGUUGGUCCCAUCGUGCUGCGACUGCCCUCCCUCUCUCCUGGAUCUCUCCCUGACCUCCUCCACCUCCUCAUCCUCCACUUCCAUCAGCUCCUGCUCCGAUCUGGAGUCAGACUGCGCCGAUCUCUCCACCUCUCUCUCGUCCUCUGACCACAAGUGGAACGCUGAUCUGUCAAUUUCUCAGGACCACACUCACAUUCAUGUUCCUGAACGCUACCCGGCCUCCCGUUCCCCCCCUGUCCUGCUCCUCAACCCCAAACCCCCUUCUGUCUCUCGUUGCCCUUCCUCCCCCCCACACGCCUGCUCCCCAGACGAGGGCUACCCCUCCGCCCCCGCCUCCCCCUCCUCCUCCGACUACCUGGGGGUCAAAGGUCAGACAGGCUUAGGGUCAGAUGUCACCAAACUAGGCCUCCUGGACUUCCUGGAGUCAGUGGGAGACUUUGGAAAGAUGGAGCGCUUUAGCCAGGUGAUUCAGGUGGCUCGCUGGGACCUGGAGGGGGAUCCUCAGGGGGAUCUACUGAGGGAUCGACUGGAUCACCUGGACCGACUGGAGAGUGUCAACAGGCAGGUGAAGCUGGCCCACAUCACCAGGCUCCAUGAGAAGGGACUGGAUCUAGGCGAUCUGGGCAAGGAGGAUCUCUCUGAUGUUCUGGAUGAGAUGGGGAACGUGGAUAUGUCUUGGAAGCUGUAUAAGGGCCGGGGAGGGUCUUUGGGAGAUUCCCAGGAGUUCUCUGAUGCUGGAGUGGACCUGACAGCACCUUCAGACUGUGACGAGCCCCUGACCUCUUCGCCCAUAGAGCUCCCACCGAGACCCCCCAAACCCCCUGCCCGCUAUGCCAGCGUGAACUCUGAACUCCACACCUACAUCAACAUCAGCCGUGACAUCACCCCCUCCGUCUCUGUCUGCACCUCUCCAUCCUCAUCCCCCACUUUCUACACCUUCAGGUGUGAGAAGGCCCUCCCUCCUUCCCCACGCUCCAUCCCCCCUCCUCUUCUCUGUCAGCCCAUCCCUUACUUUACUCUCUACAAAUCAUCCUCUCUCCCAUUCUCCCUCCCCUCCUCCACUCCCCCCAUCCCUCCCCCUCGGAGGAAGCACCUAGCCCGUAAGGAGGCUCAGCGUCUCGCCACCCUCCAAGCAGGAUGCGGGAAGACCCCCCUGUCCCUCUCCCCUCCCACCUCUCGCCUCCCUCCUUUCCCCCCUGCCCCCACCAUUUCCAUCUCCAACUCCACCACCUCCCUUGCCAUCCCUCCCCCGCCCUCUCUCCCCCCUCCUCCCUCUUUCCAUGCGUUGGAUGAUGAGAUCCGUAAGCUACUGGUGCUCGCAGGACUGACCCAGGCUGAGCUCCUCAAACUCAGCCCAGAGCUGGGGGUUUGUGUGGGGGGACUGGAGGAGGAGGGAGAGGGGGAGACCCACCACACCUCCAGGCCUGGACAGACACAUGAUAGUGGGAUGAGGAGAAAAGAGGAGAAGGCUAAGGAGCAGUAUGAUAUAGAUGGGUUGGCUGUGGAUGGAUGGAGAGAUGGAGGAGGGAGGUCAGAGGUGGAGAGGGAUAGAGAGACUGAUAUAUUUGGAGGAGUAAAGGAGGGAGAGAAAGAGGAGAGCAGAGAUGUGUUUAGAACCACGUCUUUCACUGACAUGGCGAGAAGGAGGAAGAGAAACAGCGGGUUUGGGGCUAACGUUAGCCUAGCAUCUGACUCCUACUACAGCACUGGCAAUACCAACACCUCUAACAAUGUUAACUUCGAGACUUUCAAAUAUUCCCCUGUGCUCUCGGAAACCCCUCCCCCUCCUCCUCCGCGUCCCUUACCCCCUGUCCCCCCUACCCUGCCCCCCCUCAAAGUUUGCACCCUUCUCGCCAACUCUUUACGCCCUGAGCGAUUUGAUUGGCUCAUGGCUUUCUCCCCCGAUGGUGAAACCCUGACCCUGCCCCCGCCCUUGGAAGUUAGAAAAUCCAAUGAGGAAACCCUGAAGAAAUCUACUUCCGGGUCAACGUCAGGGUCGGGUUCAAAAGUGAUGACCUUCAAGGAACUGCGUAACCGUAGCAAACACAGCUCCCCGGCAUACCAACUAAUAACUGAACCGGAUCCUGAUCCUACAGUCAUAACCCCUGACCCUGACUUCCUCUACAAUCUCAAGUGGAGGAGGGAAAAGACGGACAGCGACGGAAUCCAAUGGGAGUACACCUCCCAGGCCCAGGCCACCUUCCUGCAACCACCUCCCCUCACCUCAUUGGCUGCUUUUAGGGAAAUGUUCCAGAAAGCAGAGGAUGCUAUUGGACACCCCGAGUUAUGUCCCUCGCAGCGGAUUGGGUGCUCAGCCAGUGAAGGGAACCUGUGGAGGAUGGAUGGACAGAGAAAAGAGGAGGGAGAAAAGAGGAAAGAAGAGGUAGAGGAAGAAGAGGUGGAGGUGAGAGGAACAGCUGAUGGAGGAAGAACCUGGGAGUCAAGAACUACAGCGGUUCGUAGCGUCUCAUUUGCCGGCUCUGUACAGAGAGGCGAGAUUUCCUGGAUGGGCGAUGACGUGAAGGCCCCUCUGAGAGGCCUAGGGCUGUCCUCUCUGUGCCUGCUGGAAAAAAGAGCUCUGGUCAGUGCAGUCAGUGUGGCAGUGGAGGCCAUUUUGGCUCAGUUCAGCUCCUCACGGACCCUGGUGCAGAAGGUCAGUUUAACACCAUGUUUAACACAGUCUCUUCAGUAA